UUCGGGACGCCGGCGAGUGGCGAACGGGUGAGUAACACGUGGAGACCCGCCCUGGGGUGGGGGAUAACAACUGGAAACGGUUGCUAAUACCGCAUACGCCUUACGAGGGAAAGAUUUAUUGCCCCUGGAGGGUUCCGCGUCGGAUUAGCUUGUUGGUGGGGUAACGGCCUACCAAGGCGACGAUCCGUAGCUGGUCUUAGAGGAUGAUCAGCCACACUGGAACUGAGACACGGUCCAGACUCCUACGGGAGGCAGCAGUGGGGAAUAUUGCGCAAUGGGGGCAACCCUGACGCAGCGAUGCCGCGUGGGUGAAUAAGGCCUUAGGGUUGUAAAGCCCUUUCAGUGGGAACGAUGAUGACGGUACCCACAGAAGAAGCCCCGGCUAACUCCGUGCCAGCAGCCGCGGUAAUACGGAGGGGGCGAGCGUUGUUCGGAAUUAUUGGGCGUAAAGAGCGCGUAGGCGGCUUGUCAAG
rnacentral:rRNA from 1 species